AUUGAACGCUGGCGGCAUGCCUUACACAUGCAAGUCGAACGGUAACAGGUCUUCGGAUGCUGACGAGUGGCGAACGGGUGAGUAAUACAUCGGAACGUGCCUAGUAGUGGGGGAUAACUACUCGAAAGAGUGGCUAAUACCGCAUGAGAUCUACGGAUAAAAGCAGGGGAUCGCAAGACCUUGUGCUACUAGAGCGGCCGAUGGCAGAUUAGGUAGUUGGUGGGAUAAAAGCUUACCAAGCCGACGAUCUGUAGCUGGUCUGAGAGGACGAUCAGCCACCGUGGGACUGAGACACGGCCCAGACUCCUACGGGAGGCAGCAGUGGGGAAUUGUGGAAAAUGGGCGCAAGCCUGAUCCAGCAACGCCGCGUGCAGGAUGAAGGACUUCGGGUUGUAAACUGCUUUUGUACGGAACGAAAAGCCCUGGGUUAAUACCCUGGGGUCAUGACGGUACCGUAAGAAUAAGCACCGGCUAACUACGUGCCAGCAGCCGCGGUAA
rnacentral:rRNA from 1 species